AUUGAUAGGAAUUUUCCAGCUGAUGUGAUUCUGGGCAAUGGGCGUAGGUUAUCUGGUGUGUCUCUCUACUCUGGAGAGCCACUGAAUGGAACAAUGUUUCCUCUGGUUUAUCCAGGGAAAUCGGGGGUGCUCUCGACUUCAUUAUGCAUGGAGAAUUCCCUGGAUUCAAAUAUGGUUACAGGUAAAAUUGUUAUUUGCGAUCGGGGAAGUAGUCCGAGAGUGGCUAAGGGGUUAGUUGUCAAGAAAGCUGGAGGAGUGGGUAUGGUUCUUGCAAAUGGAAUUUCCAACGGUGAAGGGCUUGU
rnacentral:misc_RNA from 1 species